rnacentral:rRNA from 1 species
UACAGAGGGUGCAAGCGUUGUUCGGAAUUACUGGGCGUAAAGCGCACGUAGGCGGCGAUUUAAGUCAGAGGUGAAAGCCCGGGGCUCAACCCCGGAACUGCCUUUGAGACUGGAUUGCUAGAAUCUUGGAGAGGCGGGUGGAAUUCCGAGUGUAGAGGUGAAAUUCGUAGAUAUUCGGAAGAACACCAGUGGCGAAGGCGGCCCGCUGGACAAGUAUUGACGCUGAGGUGCGAAAGCGUGGGGAGCAAACAGG